CCCAUGGAUUAUACCAAUCUCUCAACCCUCAUCAGAGAGGUCUCCUUUUGCAGUAGAUGACAGAGACCCACAGUAUAGUCAACAAAGAAUAAGAGACUGUGAAGUGCUCAGCUUUACAUAGAAAAUCUAUAAGACCAAGGCUUGGGAAUCAUCCUGGAAGAGAGAGCGUGAAGAUCGUAAGAGUCAGAGGUAGUGGGCACCUGCAGGGAAAUGGUAUUUGCCAGGCAUGACACGGCCCAUUGAGCAUAGGAACUCACAGCAGAAAGCCAGCAGAGAGCAAAUCAGCCACAUUCCCUGCAUGGAUAGUGGAGGGGCCCAUGAAGCCCCACCCUGAGCUGAGGAGAAUUAGCAAUUGAUGGUCUAUAAAGAGUGGAAAUAGUAAGAAGAGGAGAUAACCUUUAAAGCAACAAUAAAGAAGAGCUUUUGGUCAGA